GAACGCUGGCGGCAGGCCUAACACAUGCAAGUCGAGCGGUAGAGAGGUGCUUGCAUCUCUUGAGAGCGGCGGACGGGUGAGUAAUGCCUAGGAAUCUGCCUAGUGGUGGGGGAUAACGUUCGGAAACGGACGCUAAUACCGCAUACGUCCUACGGGAGAAAGCGGGGGAUCUUCGGACCUCGCGCCAUUAGAUGAGCCUAGGUCGGAUUAGCUAGUUGGUGAGGUAAUGGCUCACCAAGGCGACGAUCCGUAACUGGUCUGAGAGGAUGAUCAGUCACACUGGAACUGAGACACGGUCCAGACUCCUACGGGAGGCAGCAGUGGGGAAUAUUGGACAAUGGGCGAAAGCCUGAUCCAGCCAUGCCGCGUGUAGGAUGACGGUCCUAUGGAUUGUAAACUGCUUUUGUACGAGAAGAAACAACAUUACGUGUAAUGUCUUGACGGUAUCGUAAGAAUAAGGAUCGGCUAACUACGUG
rnacentral:rRNA from 1 species